rnacentral:piRNA from 1 species
UUCAUAUUCCCUAGACAUAAACUCUCUGC